ACAGCCUUCAACCCCAUGGAGGAUCCUGCCACUGAACCUAGACAGAGGAGGAUGAUCUGGAGCAGCGCUGGCUGUGGGAGGAGGGCCAGGCGGACUACCUUGGCAAAGACGCCUUCGACAAAAUCCCGAAAAAACUGGACCGAUUCUUAGAUUAGAAGCAUGUUUUGUGUGGCAAGAUACUGUAGCAAUAGUACUGUAUUCUCAUGUUCAUGCUUAUGUGUGUUAUGUCUGUAGUGUAGGCCACUCUAAUAGUUAAAAAAAAAAAAAAAAAAUUGGAAUCAAGUUUGUCCUUUUGUUGUAAAAAUAAAUAAAAAUAAACUUGAUUCCAAUUUCAUUAAAAAAUGUGGCCAUUGAAUUCAAGUUGAAAUCCAUUCCUUAUUUUGA
ensembl:lncRNA